CGGAGUAAAACUCCCAACUUAAAAUCAUUGCCAUUUUAUUGGGCAUCAAGGCAUAAGCCUUCAACUUUCAACUUAAAAUUUUGCCAAUCCAGGCCAACGUGGUGUGAGCAAAGCUCCGACUUAAUGCAUAUGAAUGUACAUGGCAUACACGACUUUAAACUGUCGACAACAUAAUAAUAAUAGCAAUACAACAAUGUUUUCAACAAAAUCAACUUAUAAU
rnacentral:lncRNA from 1 species